AAAGUGAUUAUCAUUUAUUAGCGAAAAAUAAACUAUUAGCGUGCUAUUGUCAUCAUCAGCCUAAUAUCAACAUUAUAUAAAUCUGAAAGUUUACACAAUCUAGUUAGGUUCAAUUAAUAUAGAAUUCUAAAAUUACCUAAUCUAGCGUAUGAAAUAACGUGAUGAGAAGCAGCUAAUCUACCAGAACCUGUAGCUUCAUGUUCUAUAUUUAAACUUCAUAUUUUAGCCUGUGCAAUGAGCCACUAACAUCAAUUAUGCUAAAGCUGAAAUCACAGCCACACAGUUGAUCAAAACAAAGUUCACAUAGUCUAAAAGUACAUUAUUUAAUUACAGAAAUUAAGCAAAUCUAACAGUCAAUUCAGUUUAACUGCAAUUCUACUUAUACUGUCCAAUGAGGUUCAUAAAAUUACAAAAUAUCUAACAUGAAAACUAAUGGAAAACAGAGCCAAAGCUGCAUGUUCAAUUAAUAUCUAACUGAGAGGUUAUGUAUCAUGUUCCUGGAAGUGGAAAUUUAAUAAGAAGAAGAGAUCAACAUUAGCUCAGGCACAACAAAUCAAUAAACAAUCAACCAAAAACAAAUGCACAGUCCAGAUUUAAAUGCAAGCAAGCUCAUGUACUCCACGAGCUGUAAUAAAACCAAUUGAGAGUCGAAAUGGUAUUGCUAAACCCAGAAAAAGUUGAUAGAUGAAGAGCAAAUACCAAAACCAACCCAAGCAACCUUAAUAUAACUCCAAACUGACUCGAAAUAACAAACAAGAGCAAUCUUUGAAUUCUAGCAACCAAACAAUAGGAAUUUUCAGGCAGAACUUAUCAAUCGAUCUACAAAAUCGCAAUAGAACAGUUUUUAUUUUAUUUUUGUGCCUUUUUGUAUUUUUUCAUUUUUUCUAAGAUGAGAAAGAGAGCUUCAGAUCUGGAGUUUGAAUCUAAAUUCAAAUUAACUUUUGGAAGCUUAAGACUAUUUUGGGGGGAAUUUUUGGCUGAAAAACUUGUGAAUGAAGCAAAGAAGACUGCCUUUCAUAGGCAUCAAUUAGGGCAACCCGUAGAUUUUGUAUUUUUCCUUUAGUCCUUAUUUUAUUUUCACAAUAGUCAUCUACUUAUUGACUUGAUCUCAAGUAAACAACCUAACUUUCUGAAAUUAGAACAAAAGUCCUAUUCUAGAAGGUUCUAGGUAAUUCUAGUAUAAACUACAACAUUUCUGCUCAGCCCUAAGUACCCUAACUGCCCAUGAACUCAUUUGAAAUCACUAGCCUAAUACAACUAUAUCCAAACAAUGAUCUAACUAAGAUUAACUAAACUAAACCUAAGAAUUAUUUGAAACUAGACACUAAACUAUGUAAUUAUUAAAGACAAUUACCAGUUAAACUGACCUAAACUAAUUAACACUUGCUAACAACAAUUGUAAGGAAUUGAGAUUCAAACAAGCCUUCAAACAAGAUCCAUUAAUGCAUCAAAGAUAGAUAGAAACAUAUUCCAAAUAUAAAUUAAACUAAAAUCUAAAUUACCAACGCAUGAUUUAAACAAGAAUGAAACCGGAUUAAACUACAAAAUAAUUAUUGAAACAUAUAAGGAACCUACAAUUAAGAAUCUAAAUAGAAAUAAACGAAGAAGUUUAAUGAAUUAAUAUCUAUUAUCAAUUCAAGCAACAACUAAAUUAAUUAAUCAACAAUUACCAAAGUAAGACUGAAAAUCACAAAAUAACUACAAAUGCAAAGAUAAACCUAAAGGGAAUGCCUAGGCUAAACUAUUGGCUGGUUAACACAAAUACACAAAAACUAAUUCAAAUGUUAAAGCGACCUAAUUAGGCUAAGUGAUUGAACAAAAAAACGAAACAAGUUUAAACCAAAAGAAAUUCGAAGAAAAGAGAAGGAGACAAAGCUGAGGAGGAACGACCGUGAAGAAUAAGAAACAAAUUAACAAACAUAUGAGCUCGAUUUCAAAACUUCAAAGAAAAGGAAUAGAAUCCUAGCACACUCAAUUUUAGGUUCUCCAGAUUCAAUAUUUGAGGAAUUGGACCGGCAUUCGAGGGAUAAGGACAAAGGAAACAAGAUGAGGGGAGUUAGGGCGUAAAUUCAGGGUCAGUUUGCAGUGGCGCCGCCACUGGAGCCGAUGGGGGGUUGAGAUGGCUAGAUUAGGGUUCUUGUGAAAAGGGUUACUGAGAGAGAUGAUGCAGGUGGGGGGUGAGGGGUUCAGACACUCUUAUAUGAAAAUGACCCAACUUCCUGACCGUCCGAUCAACUAACCUAGAUGACCCAGAUUAAAAUCC
rnacentral:lncRNA from 1 species